rnacentral:lncRNA from 1 species
AUGGCUCAAGUGAUUGGGUUCCUGCCACCCACGUGGAAGAUCCAGAUUGAAUCCCCAGAUCCUGACUUCAACCCCCUAGCUGUUGUGAGCACCCAGGUGAUACCCCAGUCCCACCCUCAGACUGCUCCCCCCCUCUCUGGAUAUUCUACAAACAACCUUGGUUCUGGGAUGUUCCCCUCCAACCUCGGCCCCUCACCCCACUGGCUACCAAGUUCUGCCUUCUCCCCAGGAGGACUCUGCCCAUCCUUGGUCACUGGACACGUCCCACAUCACCCAGGAUGUCCUGGCUACUCACUGUCUGCUGAGUGUCCAACAACUUUCUGGGAUCCAGUGACUGCUGAAAACAUAGAUGGCCAAAGCUCAAGGCCUCUUUUCUGGAACAUGUGUCAACAUCUCACACCUGGCCUUAUUCUUCCUUCAAAAAUGCCACCACCUGAGAAGCUUCCAUCCAACUCCCCAGACCCAAUCUCCCUCUCCCUCUCUCUCUCUCUCCCCCUCCCCCUUUCAAAUAAGCAAAGAAAUAAAUUCUUUUUUUUUAAGACUUUAUUUAUGUAUUUGAAAUUCAGAGAGAGAGAGAGAGAGAUGUCUUUCAUCCGUUGGUUCACUCCCCAAUUGGCUGAAAUGGCUGGAGCUGCGCCAAUCCGAAGCCAGGAGCCAGGAGCUUCUUCCAGGUUUCCCACAUGGGUGCAGGGGCCCAAGGCCCUGGACCAUCUUCUACUGCUUUCCCAGGCCAUAGCAGAGAGCUGGAUUGGAAGUGGAGCAGCCAGGACUGGAACCAGUGUUCACGUGGGAUGCCGGCACUACAGGUGGUGGCUUUACCCUCUACACCACAGCGCAGGCCCCAUAAAAUCUUUUACAAUGGGCUAAUAAUUUAAGCAGACAUUUCUCCAAAGAUAUACAAAUGACCAAUGAGCCUAUGAAAAGAUGCUCGGUGUCAUUAGCCCUCAGGGAAACGCAAAUGAAAACCACAAAGAGACACCACCUCACCAUCAUUUUGGCAGCUGCCAUCAAAGACAGGCAAUAGCAAGUGUUAGGGAGGAGUGCAGAGCUGUGUGCUGGCCUGUGCUGUGGGGCAGAGGGAAUGGAGAGGGAGAGGGAGAGGGCAGCUGAGAGUGUGAGGGUAGGAACAGGGUAAUUGUGAGUGCUUACAUGGAGCCUUAAGACAGACCGAAGCAGAUGUUGCAAGAGAGGCAGGGCUGGUGAACUGCUCCUUCUCACUGAAAAGAACUGGAGAUCUUUCAUUUGAAAAGAAUUGGAGAGCUGAACUUCCAAGGAAUCCCAUCCAAGAAAGACCGGCAUUUGGUAGCUGCCAGAUGGUGCCACUUGGGUUUGCCUGGUGAUAGGCCAGCUCUGCGGGCUCCACCCAUGCUCAGAGGAGCUGAGCUGGUUUCUGCUGAUAAGAGUUUGUCCACAGGCCAUGAGAACACACCUGAGGUUCUGAGGGAGGAACAAACUCAGUGCAUUAGAUUUCCUCGUGGGCGCUUUUGAAGCAGGAAGCCACCUGCUGAGAACUCCUGGGGUAACAAAUCAGGGGACAGGGUACCUUCCUUAGUGCGAUGCUGGCUCACUGAGGCACAAAAGGAUUUUUUUUAUUUAUUUUUUUAUUUUUUUUGACAGGCAGAGUGGACAGUGAGAGAGAGAGACAGAGAGAAAGGUCUUCCUUUGCCGUUGGUUCACCCUACAAUGGCCGCCGCGGCCAGCGCGCUUCAGCCCACGCACCGCACUGAUCCGAUGGCAGGAGCCAGGUGCUUCUCCUGGUCUCCCAUGGGGUGCAGGGCCCAAGCACUUGGGCCAUCCUCCACUGCACUCCCGGGCCACAGCAGAGAGCUGGCCUGGAAGAGGGGCAAAUGGGACAGAAUCCGGUGCCCCGACCGGGACUAGAACCCAGUGUGCCGGCGCCGCAAGGCAGAGGAUGAGCCUAGUGAGCCAAAGCGCCAGCCGCACAAAAGGAUUUUAAAAAGUCAUUGGAAAGUGGAAUGAGGAGAUAAUGCCCUUUUCCCAGGCUUGUUUUGAAGAGUUCUUAUGUAAUUCAAAUACCGGUGACAGGUGACAGAGUGAUCUAAAGUUAUUAACACAAACGGGCUUCUUUUAAGACCUCUAAAAUAUGUAGAGGCUCUUAUUUAUUUGGAGACCCAACACAUAUGUGUACUGCAACACAUUUUAAGAAUCAUAGAUGGGGCCUGGCAUUUUGAUGCAACACUGGCAUCCCACAUUGGAGCCUCGCUUUAAAUCCUGGAUGCUCUGUUUCCAAUCCAGUUCCCUACAAAGGAGCCUGGGAAAACAAUGGAUGGUGGCCCAAGUACUUGGGAGACUCAGAUGGAGUUCUGGCUCCUGGCUUCAGCCCAGUCAUUUGUGGAGAGGACCAGAAGAUGGAAGAUCUUUCUUUUCUCUCUCUCCCUCUCACUCUGUCACUCUGAGUUUCAAAUAGAUCAAAUAAGUCGUUUACAAAAUAAAAAUCAUAGAUACUAAGUUCA